GUUUGAUCCUGGCUCAGAAUGAACGCUGGCGGCAGGCUUAACACAUGCAAGUCGAACGGGGUUAUAUUGUAGCUUGCUAUAGUAUAACUUAGUGGCAGACGGGUGAGUAAUGUAUAGGAAUCUACCUAGUAGUACGGAAUAAUUGUUGGAAACGGCAACUAAUACCGUAUACGCCCUACGGGGGAAAGAUUUAUCGCUAUUAGAUGAGCCUAUAUUAGAUUAGCUAGUUGGUAAGGUAAUGGCUUACCAAGGCAAUGAUCUAUAGCUGAUCUGAGAGGAUGAUCAGCCACACUGGAACUGAGAUACGGUCCAGACUCCUACGGGAGGCAGCAGUGGGGAAUAUUGGACAAUGGGCGAAAGCCUGAUCCAGCCAUGCCGCAUGAGUGAAGAAGGCCUUUGGGUUGUAAAGCUCUUUCGGUGAGGAAGAUAAUGACGGUACUCACAGAAGAAGUCCUGGCUAACUCCGUGCCAGCAGCCGCGGUAAUACGGAGAGGGCUAGCGUCAUUCGGAAUUAUUGGGCGUAAAGAGCGCGUAGGCUGGUUAGUAAGUUAAAAGUGAAAUCCCAAAGCUCAACUUUGGAAUUGCUUUUAAAACUGCUAACCUAGAGAUUGAAAGAGGAUAGAGGAACUCCUAGUGUAGAGGUGAAAUUCGUAAAUAUUAGGAGGAACACCAGNNGCGAA
rnacentral:rRNA from 1 species